rnacentral:rRNA from 1 species
CAAAAACAUAGCUACGUGAUCUCGUACGUAGUUAUUUCUGCUCCAUGGUAUGCUAAAUAGCCGCAGUACUCUGACUGUGCAAAGGUAGCAUAAUCAGUUGGCUCCUAAAUAGAGUCUGGUAUGAAAGAACACAUGGAAAGUAACUAUACUCAGAAUAUUAAUGCGAAAUUGGUUGUGAGUGCAAAUCCUCGCAUAUUUACAAAAGACGAGAAGACCCUAGAAACUCGCAAUAAAAAUUUUGUUGGGGCGACAGAAUUACAAUAAACUAAUUCUAUAAUGCAAGACGUUUAACAGGUAGUUAAAGUUACUCUAGGGAUAACAGCAUAAUAUAAUAUCUGUUUGUGACCUCGAUGUUGGACUAGGUAAAAUAUUCCUUAGAAAGAAAUACGUAUGCUCUGUUCGAGCAAGUUAACCUACGUGAUCUGA